AGUCAAGUAAUUAAGUGCAUGUGGUGGAUGCCUUGGCAGUCAGAGGCGAUGAAAGACGUGAUAGCCUGCGAAAAGCUCCGGGGAGGCGGCAAAUAUCCUUUGAUCCGGAGAUGUCUGAAUGGGGGAACCCACCUACUUUAAGGUAGGUAUUGCAACAUGAAUACAUAGUGUUGCAAGGCGAACGAGGGGAAGUGAAACAUCUCAGUACCCUUAGGAAAAGAAAUCAAUUGAGAUUCCCUCAGUAGCGGCGAGCGAACGGGGAUCAGCCCAUUAAGUUAUGUGUGUUUUAGUGGAACGCUCUGGGAAGUGCGAACGUAGAGGGUGAUAUUCCCGUACACGAAAGGGCACACAUAAUGAUGACGAGUAGGGCGAGGCACGUGAAACCUUGUCUGAAUAUGGGGGGACCAUCCUCCAAGGCUAAAUACUCCUGACUGACCGAUAGUGAACCAGUACCGUGAGGGAAAGGCGAAAAGAACCCCUGUGAGGGGAGUGAAAUAGAUCCUGAAACCGCAUGCAUACAAGCAGUGGGAGCACCUUCGUGGUGUGACUGCGUACCUUUUGUAUAAUGGGUCAGCGACUUAUAUUCAGUAGCGAGGUUAACCGUAUAGGGGAGCCGUAGAGAAAUCGAGUCUUAAUAGGGCGUUUAGUUGCUGGGUAUAGACCCGAAACCAGGCGAUCUAUCCAUGAGCAGGUUGAAGGUUGGGUAACACUAACUGGAGGACCGAACCCACUGUCGUUGAAAAGCCAGGGGAUGACUUGUGGAUAGGGGUGAAAGGCUAAUCAAGCCUGGUGAUAGCUGGUUCUCCCCGAAAGCUAUUUAGGUAGCGCCUCGGACGAAUACCAUAGGGGGUAGAGCACUGUUUCGGCUAGGGGGUCAUCCCGACUUACCAAACCGAUGCAAACUCCGAAUACCUAUGAGUACUAUCCGGGAGACAGACUGCGGGUG
rnacentral:rRNA from 1 species